AUUGAACGCUGGCGGCAGGCCUAACACAUGCAAGUCGAGCGGAGCGGCGGACGGGUGAGUAAUGCCUAGGAAUCUGCCUGGUAGUGGGGGAUAACGUCCGGAAACGGGCGCUAAUACCGCAUACUAUCAGAUGAGCCUAGGUCGGAUUAGCUAGUUGGUGGGGUAAAGGCCUACCAAGGCGACGAUCCCUAGCUGGUCUGAGAGGAUGAUCAGCCACACUGGAACGGAGACACGGUCCAGACGCCUACGGGAGGCAGCAGUGGGGAAUAUUGCACAAUGGGGGAACCCCUGAUACAGCCAUGCCGCGUGUGUGAAGAGGGCCUUCGGGUUGUAAAGCACUUUCAGCGAGGAGGCGUUACUCGCAGAAGAAGCACCGGCUAACUCCGUGCCAGCCGCCGCGGUAAUUC
rnacentral:rRNA from 1 species